rnacentral:lncRNA from 1 species
UUUUUUGUUAAUAUCUUUAUUUUUCGUUAAAAAAAAGGUUUGCAGAAAUGGAGUCAACACUCAUGAAUAUGCUCUCCAAUCAUGGGUGCGAGCCCGACGUGUGGACGAUGAACGCCACCCUCCGAGCCUUUGGCAGCAGCGGCCAGAUCGAGACGAUGGAAAAGUGCUACGACAAGUUCCAGAACUCUGGCAUCUCCCCUGACAUCAAGACCUUCAACAUACUCCUUGAUUCAUAUGGCAAGUCCAAAAUGUACCAGAAAAUGGGUGCUGUAAUGGAAUACAUGCAGAAAUACUACUAUUCAUGGACGGUCGUUACUUACAACGUGGUCAUCGAUGCAUUUGGGAAAGCGGGGGACUUGAAACAGAUGGAAUACAUCUUUAGGUUGAUGAAGUCCGAAAAGAUCAAACCCAACUGCGUUACCCUUUGCUCGCUCGUUAAAGCGUAUGGAAGGGCAGGGGCUGUCGAAAAGAUAAAAUCAGUAGUGAGGUUUAUUGAGAACUCGGACGUGAUGCUGGAUACCGUGUUCUUCAACUGUUUGGUGGAUGCAUAUGGGAAGGCGGGGUGCUUGGCAGAGAUGCGGGAAGUGCUGGAGAUGAUGAAGACGCGGGGGUGCACGCCGGACAAGGUAACCUACAGUACCAUGAUCAAAGCAUAUCUUAGCAAAGGAAUCAACGAUCAUCGUGUUCAGGAUCUAUGUGAGCUGAGAAAUGGGGAGUCAUUAUAUUUGAGAGAGGAAUCUAAUUUGCACGCAUGAGGGCGAUGCUGUAGCAGGAGGUUUAUUUUUCCAUUGUUUAUGCUCUUUAGUGUGAGAGGCGAGCAGAGGAGAAAAUAAAGAAUCAUGAAAGAUGCCACCUUGACUCAAUAAUGCAAUUUUUUUGUGGUUUAAUUUUAGUGUUGAGAACAUCGAGCGGCAUUACUGGUUUUGUUGGCGGCAACAGAGGGGGCAACAGUAGUGAAUAAGUUAAAUAAAUGAAGAACAGCUUCACUGAUGAGGAGCCUGCUUCGGCCACCUAAUUUCUCAUCAAGCAUUAGAGCAUCAUCUGAAGAUGCUUUCGCUGCGACGGAUGUUUGCGAAGGGCCGUUGGAAUGGUUUGUUCGGGUGAAUUACCGGCGCGAACCUGGUGCAGGUGGAAUGGUUCGGGUUCGUCUCUUUGUUAUGUGUUUUUAUUUUAGCGGUUGGCUGUAACUUCUGUGGGGAAAGGAAGUUAUCUGUUACUGAAUGAUGUCUCAUGUAAUGAACUUACCAAGUUCAGGUGCAGGUUAUUGGACUGUUGAUUGUUUUUUUUACCCCAAAGGAUCCUUUCUUUUCUAUUCUUUUUUUCUCAUUUCACAUAUUGUAGUAAAAUAACCUCGGAAAAUGAGUUAUGCUCCGUUGCUUUUUGUAGAACCAGAAACUUUGUUCUUUUCACGCAAUUUGAUACUAGUGAAAAUCUUUUGCUUCGCUGCGGGUAAGUAGAUUAAGUUUAAUAUAAAUAAAUCAACCGUAAAAUCAUACAAAAUAAUUUUUUUUAGAAAAAAAAAUUUAUACUGAAAUCAAACGAUUGAAUUGCAAGAUAGCUUUCAAAUAAAAAGAUUAUUAAACCAUAAAAAAUAGCUCUCAAAUAGAGAAAUCAUCAAAUCAUGAAAUUCUUCAAGUGAAAUUUUUUUUUUCUAUAGGGUGGUUUUCUCAAAUACUUCUUUCGAAGUGCGAUAUACCUCUCAAAUACUUCAUCCUGAAAAGUUAAGAAGAAAGGUGAAAAAAUUUAUAUAAAAUUAAAAUUUAAAUCAAAUAUAUUAUUGCUAUUUUUUAUCUAAAAGCAAAAUUUUCAAAAAUUGUGCAAAUUCAAGAAAAUACCAAAAAUUUUAUGAAAAAAAUCUGAUUCGACGCCAAAAAAUUGCAAAAAAAAUUUCGAAAAAAAAUCAGAAACCUCAAUAUACCCACUUCCUUGGCCAUCAUCAAGGCCAAAUUGAUGUCACUAAGCCGUGCCCCGCGCCGCCCAAGCCUCUGCCGCCGUCAUCAUCAUCAGGCAAGAAGUAAAAAAUUAAAAAAAAAAAACGGGAAGAAGUAAAAAAAAAAAAAAAGAAGAGAGGAAUGUAAGGAUAAGCAGAAAAAGAGGAGAAGAGUUAACAAAAAAAAAAAAAAAAAAAAAAAAAAAAAAAAAAAAAAAAAAAAAAAAAUGACAUAGGCUUUUUUUUUUUUUGUUUUUUUGUUUGAUGAAGCUGCUGUCAUGUCCCCCGCUAAUGUCGCCUAAUUCGCCGUCUCCCCAUGAUCGUCGCCUGUUGCAGCAGUGACCGUCGUUGACGCCGCCGUCGCAUCGGCCGUCAUUGCCCCCAAGUCACCGAAGCCCACUUCAAAUUCCCUCACAUAAGAGAGAAAGAGUGUGCGGGUACUAUAGAAAAGAGAUGGGGAGAGAGAAGGGAGAAAGAGAGUAGGGAAGAGGGAGCGAGGGAAAGGGAGGGCCAGCUGUAGGAAGGAAGAGAGAGAAAAGGAAAGAGAGAAAGUGGGGCCACUUAGAGGGGGAGAAAUAGAGGAGAAAGGUGAAGAGAGAGAGAGGUGGGGCCGAGAGAAUGAGAGAGGGGAAGAGAGAGAGAUGGGGCCACCUUAGAAGGGAAGAGAGAAAGAGAGGAGUAAAAAGAAUUAUCGAGAACCCGUCACGUGGAAUAGACAAAUAUAGGUACGUCAUGUGUUUAGAAAGUACAUUCAAAUUAUAUAGUGUAAGAUGUUAGGACAUUGGAAUCAAUAAUUUGUAGCUGGUACCUCUAGAAAUGAUUUAAUUUUAUGGCUUAGAAAUUAAAAGUUAUUAUUAUUUUCAUAGUCAAUUUAAAUGUUCUAAGAUUUAUUUUACAAAGAAUGUCAAAUUCUUCUUAGAAUAUUAUUGAUAUUUUUUAAUUAUAUUUUUACCCAACGCCUUUGGGGAUCCAAAAGCUUUUUUUUAGUUAAAAUUUUAAGUAAUUCAUUAAAAAGUAAAGAUUGAUUAUAUUAUUAUAUAAUUUGAGAAAAUUAAAAAAAUAUUUUCACAUAAAGAAAAAAAGGAAAACGCAUAUAUCCUCAAAAAUAAAUAAAAGAAGAAAAUAAGGAUGAGUCUCCUAACCAAAAAAAGAAAAAAGAAAUAUAUUAAUUGGUCCCCAAAUUUAAAUAUUAUUUAACAAAUGAAUCAAGCUCAUGAACAUAAACGAUAAAGCUGGAAACAAAAUAUAGAGAACAUUACCAAAAAAAAAAAAUUUCAUAUUUUGUUUUUGUUCUGACUCCGAUUGGAACAAAAAGAAGAAUCAUCCAUAUUGGAAUACUUCUACUUCGAGACUUACCAAAUUCCUAUUUAAAGAAAAUUUAUAAAAUCUAUAUUGCCUGACAGAAGAAAAGAAAAGAAAAAAACAUGAGUGGCAAAAGAGAGUAGCAAGUAGGAGGUACACAAACUAGGCUAGGGCUACUAUACUCUUAUGAGUAUAGAGCCCUUCAUACUCAUAAGUUAUUUUCAAUGAUUGAGCUUUCGAAUCGACGAUCCAAUCCAUUAAAUAUGAUUUAGAGUAUUUAAAACUUCUAGAAAAUAAAUUUCGUAAUUUUUUGAAAUCAUAAUAAAGUUCAUCAAGCGGAUAUAAAAUGAACGGUCAAAAUUAAACGACGUCUUAAAAAUGAAUGCUCAGAUCCUUCAAUUUAAGAUCGGAGUUAUUAACCUUUAUCUAUGUAGUGAAUAUAAUUUUCUAUCAAAAAUUCAACUGAUUCAAUUCUUUUACACCGUUAAACUAGCAAAUAUCUCAUACCAACUGUUAAAAAUUGUCAAUUUUGUGACAUUUUGAUCGUAAGGUAAAUGAUGUUAAAAAAUUAUAAAAUUUGAUUUCUAGAUGUUUUAAAUGCUCUAGAUAAUGUUUAACGGUGUGGAUCGUCGAUUCGGAAGCUCUAUCAUCGAAAACAAUUUAUGAGUACGAGGGCGAUCGUUCUCAUAAGAGUAUAGCAGCCGAACUCCAUAAACUAAAUAAUUAUAAUAAAAAUUUGAGAGAAAAUCAUUAUAUAUAUAUAUAUAGAGAGAGAGAGAGAGAGAGAGAGAGAGAGUCCGGCUGGGAUACUAUUGACAGCACCAAGCACUUGUGCUAUCGAGUUUUCCGCCGUUAGAUUUAACUCUUUGAUUAUUUUCACUCGUUCGAUUAUACUAUUCAACCAACAACUCACUCAACCCUAAGGGGCCUACAUCAUCCUAACUGUACAUUUCUUUAUCCAAGGGCCGAAAACCUAAUAGCACCAACAGGUUGGUGUUGGAUAUAUUGUUAUUGGAUAUUUUGUUAUAAUAUAAUCCAAAUAAUAUGUUCACAUACAAGCCCAAUAAGUGAAAGCGUAUUAAGGCCCAUAUCUCUGGAGCCCAAUAGCUUAUUUAUCAAAUCUAGGGUUUCCUACGCUGGAGGUAACACUGUUGAGCGUUCCAAACUUGACGUCUCUUGGUGUAAUACUUUAAGCACCCAAAAACCCUAACCUCCAACAAUCUUAAAGUAUUACGAUCCUAUAUCGGAUUUGAGCGAGUAAGUUAUCGAUUCGAAGAUCUCGUCAAGACGAAUUCACCGGUAUAAUUUAUUUUCGAUUUCGACGAUCGGAUUGGCCGGGAUCUGAGUUUGAAAGUCAGGCGGCGGAAUUCUUUGAUUCAAAAAUCCAGAAAUUACAGCCAAUUUCAGAGGGUGAAACCACUUGGGUUCUGUUCUACUCGUCGAUACGAACGUUUUGACUGGUUACUCGUCUCGAACGGAGGUCGGACGACGAAGUUACGGCCAUCUGAAGUUUUCAGCAGUUUCCGGCGACGAGGGCAGUUCAUCUUAAGGUUUUUGGGCACUACGGAUCCAAUUUUGGGUUUGUUUUUGGCAAAUUCCACCUCUACAAAGCACUUUGAUUCAGAUCAGGGGCUUUAUUCAACUUUGCGAGAUCUGCGGACUACAAGGUGCACUCUUUCUAACACUUUGCUCUGAUUAAAUGGCAAAGCGUAGUUCUUUUGAUAUUAUAAAAUUGCAAUCAUUUGAUGUUACUGAAUUUCAUGGUUGGAAAUUACAUGUUCAAUUUGGCAUGAAAGAACAGAUGGGACUGGAUGAAUUAAAGAGGUAUAUUCACAUUGAGGAUCAAAACAGUACUAGAAAGAAUUUAGAACAAGUAGGACAACAAAAGUCAGUUGCCAACUUAGUUUCACACUUCAAUAAACCUCAGAAAAGAUCCAAGUCACCAAAAGGUGAAUCUUCUUCACAGCUAGAGGUCAAAAAGACUAUCUCCAAAAAGAAAAAGAAAGAAAAGUGCCAUAACUGUGAAAAAUGGGGUCACUGGGCAGCAGAGUGUAGACUACCAAAGAAGCCAAAGAAUAACACACCACAAAGUGAGGCUAAUAUGCUAAAUAGUGAAUCUGAGCCUCAAGCUUUCAUUGGAAUGAUGAAAAUUGGAAAGGCUAGUAUUUCUACUGAGUGGUGGUUGGAUAGUGGCACUACUUGUCAUGCUACAAAUGACAAGAACCUACUCACAGAGGUCACAGAAGUGAAAGACACCGUAGAAAAUUGCAAUGGUGGUGAGGCAGAAGUGACUCAUACUGGAACUGCAAAUUUGGUGCUUUCUUCAGGUAAAUUACUAACUCUGAAACAUGUUAGAGUAGUACCUUUACUUAAAAAGAAUUUGAUAUCUAUGAGCUUACUUGAUAAAGCUGGUAUGUCCUUUUCAACUAUGAAUGGUAGAGUAACCUUAUCAGUUAACUCAUGUUAUUUUGGUUGUGCAUUCAUGGUUAAUGGUAUGUAUAGGUUGAGUUUAGAUACUGAUAGCAAAAACCAUGUGAGUUCUAUUCUGAUUGAUCCAAAGUUGUUGCACAAUAGACUUGGACAUGUGAACUACAGGAAAAUGCAACUUCUAGCUAAAACUCACAACAUUCCAUUGGAUACUUCUAUUCGAUUUGACAAAUGUGAAGUGUGUGCACAAGCUAAGAUCACUAGAAAACCUUUUAAAAUGGUUUCUAAAAGCACACAACUUCUUGAGCUAAUACAUUCUGAUCUUUGUGAUUUUAGAAAUUACGUCACUAGAGGUGGUCGAAAGUAUUUGAUAACAUUCAUAGACGAUUUUUCUAGAUAUUGUCAUGUCUAUUUGUUGAAAUCGAAAGAUGNUAGAUACAGAGAGAGAGAGAGAGAGAGAGAGAGAGAGAGAGAGAGAGAGAGAGAUAGAUGAGUUAGAAUAUUAUUGGUAGCAAAUAGGCUCCGUUGCCACUCAUUUGUUUUGAUGAUGGAGCCUUCAAUUUGAGAUUUGCAGUGUUGAAUAUGAUCUAUACCACUUGAAACAUCUAGAAACCAAAUUUUAUGUUUUUCCGAUAUUAUUCUCUUGUCCAUCAAGUGGAGACAAAAAUAAACAAUGCAAAAUGAAUAUCCUUUAAAAGUGAUAAUAGGAGUCAUGUAAUCAAGAUCAAGAGUAUAGAUCACGUUUUAAAUAGUUUAAAGAAUUUUCUAAUCUAAAUUCAAUUUAUUUGGAUAUCUUUACGCCGUUAAAUGAAAAAAUGUCUCACAUUGACCAUUAAAAGGCUAAUUAUAAAAAAAAAUCUCUCUGUCAAUACCCGUUUUUUCACUUUUUCCUCCUGUCAUUUAGAAACCUAUACUUUGUCCCCUUGAAAAAUAAAAAAUGCUCACAGUGGGGUACAGUGUUAACUGUGAUGAUAAAAUAACCAAAUUGCACCUCACCAUCUUCAUCUUCUCCCCAAUCUUGCUCAGCCGUCGUCUUUUCUCUUCCAUUCUUCGUGCCUCGCUCAACCGCAGCUCCGACUCUAUUUCCUCCAUAUGCUCCCCACUCCUCUUGCACACUCGUCGCCCCUCCAUUUCGGCGAUGGUAGAGAGGAGAUUAGGGUAGGUAUGGACGAAGAGGCGGGCGAGGGUGAGGGCGAGAUGGCAAAGGAGCGCGAGAGCGCGUGUGUAGGCACAGAUGGAGGGGUGGGCGAGCGCGAGGCGGCGGAGGAGAGCGAGGUGGCAGAAUCGGGCGAGGCCACAUGGGCGGCGAGGAAGGAAGCAGCAAUGUUGAGAAGAGGAGGCUGAGGGUAUUUGGGUAUAAAAAAAUAAUAAUAAGAUAUAAAUGGAACUCUAAAAUGGAAUAGUAACGGCGGGGGCUAAAGUGAACAUUUCUUAUCUUUCAAAUGGGCAAAGUGUAGAUUUUUAAAUUACAGGAGGGGAGAGUUAAAAAAGCAGGUAUUGACAAAGAGGGUUUUCUAUAAUUUAUGCUUAGAAUUAUAAAUUUUAAAACCCUUUGAUCAAUAGGGUAAUGAUAUAAAAAAGAUUUAAAAUUGAUUUCUAGAUGCUUCAAGUGGUAUAAAUCAUAUUCAAUGGUGUUGAUCAUCAAUUUGAAACUUUCAGCUUCUAAUUUUGUUAGAACUUUCUCUUUAGAGUUGGUUGGGAGACUCAAGAGCUCAAAAGACAUCUUCGCUGAGGUAUUAACAAGCAAAGGUGAGAAAUAUCACCGAAAUAGAUUUGAUUUCUCCUCUGUCUAAAUAAUUCCUAUUUCCUUGUAUGUAGCUUAAACCUCAUAAUUUUCCUCGGUAAGAAUGGAUUAAAUCUUUGAUGGAUUUGUAUAAAGCAAGGUUUGGAAAUUUAUUAGGGGUUAUGAGUAUAUGACCUAGCACGUAAAUGCCUUCACCUCUAUUGUAUACCUUCUUUUUUUUUUUUUUUUAAGAGAUAGAUAGCAUGCCACCCGCUUCGUUUUAUUUCUUUUAAGAAGUAAACUUAGCUAGAAAUGUGAAUCAACUAGGAUUCGAACUUGGGACCUCGGGUAUCAACCACCAAGCCCUUUGCCACUUACGUCAGGAACGGUCGGUUGUAUGCCAUAUUAUUAUUAUUGUAUUCUUUGUAAACAAGUAGAACACUAAGUUAUUCGAGCAUAUGGACUUUGCUGACAUAAUGGUGACACUUGACAUAGAAGAAAACUUUUAUGGUAUCAUUUGGUUCGAGGAUAAGCAAAAAGUGGGUAUUCCGGGGAUAGGUAUAAAUUGAGGUAUAAGCGGGAAUUAGAUCAAUUUUGCGUUUGGAUGAAAAUUUGGUUAUUCCUGAAAAUAAGAAAAAUAGCAUUUGGUUAGGUAAGAUGGAAUAAGAAUUAAAGUGGGUGGUUAUAAAUAAAAAAUAAUAAUAUUAUUCUUUUCUUUAUAUUAGAAUUUGAAUUUUUAUAUUUUAUAUUUAUAUUUUAAAAUUUAAAAUAAUAUAUAUUUUGAAAUUAUAAAUUAAAAAUUAAGUUUAAAUUUAAAUUUUGAAUUUAUAAUUAAAAUUUGAGUCCGAAAUCAGAAUUAAUAAGUAGGUUUUAGUUACUUCUGAUUUUUUGAUUCACGAAAAUCAAAAUAUUAAUUUUAAAAAUUAAAAAUUUUAAUUUUUAAACUUACGAAAUUUAAAUUUUAUAAUAAAUUAAAAAUUCUCUCACUCACUCACACUCUCAUACUCUCUCUCUCUCUCUCCUCUCUUCACGGGUGGAACAAGCUGGGUUAUCCCAGCUUGUUCCACCUUGAGGUGGGAACACUAAUUCCCUUCUUAACGGGCUAUUCUAGUUCUCACCCCUUAACAGGCUAUUCUAGAAUAGCGCGUUAAGGAGGGAAUUAGUGUUCCCACCAUUUUUUGUUUGUAUUUGGAGGAUAAGGGUGGAAUAAGCCCUUUAUUCCACCCUUAUCCCCCAACCAAACAUAGCCUAUUAGGGGAUAAAUAUAGUGGUAUAUAGAUAAAUUUUAAGAACUUGUUUGUAAGUGGCAUGUAAACAUAAAAAAAAAAAAAACCUCAUGAGACAGGCUCUAAAAUUGAUUGUGACCUGGGGUAUAAAGUAAGAGAUAAACUAAGCUAUGACCUUCCGAAAGAGCCAUUAUGAAAAGUCUCAAUUACAUUUGACUGCUUAUUCCUAUAUUGGGGAAAUCUAAGAUUCCCGACCUCUUGUGCUUACCCAUUGAGGUGGAUCACCAUCAUUUUCGUCUCUCUAUGAGGUGUUUAUAAGUGAAUUGAAAUCGGACCUUCGAAUCGGCUAGAGUAAGGUAAUGAUAUGAGUAGAUCUUUUCUUGGACAUUAACUUAGCAACAUCUAACUUUGGCACAUUAGCAUCUUGAUAAAGGCAUGGUAGUUGCAUGCCUUCUUAUAUAUGCUUUCUUUUAUUAUAACAGCGGUUCCUUUUACUUGUUACCGUACUACUUAUGCCUCUUUUGAACCGAGUGAAUAUAGAACGCCACUUUCGACGGUUGCAUCCAUUAAAAAUUUAUUUCAAGUCUCGCUGCUUGUUAUUGAUGCUUUUAUAGAGCCAUCCACGGCCGGCGAGGCUCGUGACCGCCGUCAAUAUCACUUCUGUACACUAUGAUAUUUAAAUAUUUUUGGAGAGGUGUAAAGCUUGAUAAUAGAAGUUACAUCUCCGCUGAAAGAACAGAGCUCCACAAGGAGGAAGACUUGCAGUGCCGAAACAAAAACACUAGUGAAGGAAGAGUGACAAGUACGUGAAAUUCCAGCAUAGCCUGGCUCAUUACAUACCAGAAUAACUAAAAAUGCAGCAACAGUAAUGAUCUAACUUCAAAGACAACGAACAGCUGUGAAAGAUAUCACUUUCUUAAGAUCCCUCGAUCAAAUAUAAGAUCCUUCUCCGUAAAGGAUUAAACGCUUCAUCAAACCACCAAAUUAUGUAAAUACUUGCACACGUAAGAUGCCGAAACUCGAUUAGACCGAGCUUUCCUUGAGAUCAAAACACUUGAAUGGAAAAAAAGAAAAGAAAAGAAAAGAAAAGAAAAGAAAAAUUAAAUUACCUGCAUGCAGAAGCGGCAAACAGCAAACAGAAAAUUGUCUAGCCACCUACUCCACCUCUACAGCAUUUGCAAAGGUGAUUUUCAGUCUAUUAUAACUAAACCUUCCCUUAUUCCUGUACAAGAUCAUCUACAUUUCCCCCACCAAAUUUCUCAAUCAAAUAUACACGACACACCGCUCGGUAACUAAUAGAAUGCGAACACAAAUGUCCAAUAGCAUUUGCAACUCCUCUAUGAACGACAACUAUGUUUAAAGUUUAAAAGUCGAGAUAAUUGUAUGCAUGCCGCCUUUUGUACUGAAGCAAGCUGGCAUAUACCCGAUCCCACACCCCAACAAAGAGAGACUCGUCGUCUGGACUCAGAGAUGCUCCCGAAAUUUCGCCAAAGAAGUCCAGCUCUUGCCGCUUCUUGUAGUUGGCGGCCGUGUCGUAGAUGUGGACAAAGUCGGCAGGCUCCGCGAAGAACAUGAACCGUCCGUCGGUCGAGUAGCGGAUGGACCGGAUUGCACCCAAGUUGCCCUUUAGGACGGCCAGCGAAGACGACAGGUUCCGCACAUCCCAAACACGGCAGGUUUUGUCUUGAUUCCCAGUGGCAAAACUGCGGCCGUCAGGAUGCCACGCUGAAGCAAAUGAAUAGUCAAGAUGCCCUACAAGCGUUGAGAUCCCCUGUGCAUCAUACAGAUAAUUGGUUCUAGAUAUUAGUCGGCAGUGUUAGAUAUUAGUUGGCUGUUCAACCCAAAGCCUUUUGCAUAUUAGCUUAGGUGGAUGUGCGACAUUGUUUAUUCUUUCAGCUUUCAGUUUCCUCCAGUUCCCAUGUAAUUGAUGGGACAAAGGGAUAACAGACCAACAUAGGUGCAGACAUCAAUUCGAUAUGGAAGUGAGUCGUUGGUAUGGCGUAGCCCAACAGCAUUGUAUAUAAAGGGAUGCCCUUGCUAAUUUUUUUGCUAUUACGGAUUGUUUGUAAAAUGACAAGUUUUUUAUUCUGUUUAACAACAGAAAACAAAUAUAUGGUAGUAAACUUUUCUUGCUUUAAUUACUAUUUAUUGUAAGAUGAGUUUGCAAACUAACCAAAGGGAGUGAAACGUGUUGAAUAGUAUACAUCUAAUCAAACUUCCAAAUUCUGAUUCUGGCAAAGCCAGUUUAGAUCUCCCUACCCUUAUUGAAUCCGGAUUCUAUCUUGAUGCUUCUAAAUAUUUUUUGGUCGAGUCUGAUCAGUUUGUUCUUUUGUUCUUCUCAGUCAUACUUAUAUGCAUUUUAAGACAACUAAGGAAAUAUCCGAGUUUCAACUUGUUUCUUUAUCCAUAUUUUUCAAGAACUAUAUCCAUUCUAAUACCAGUAGUUAAAAGAUGUUAAAAAAUAUGCUUUAGUCUCUAUCUGACUUGCUUCCAACCCAUUCACCCAACUAACCAAGAAUAACAAGAAUAGCUCAUCCCUAUACACCUUCAAUAACACGGAACUUUAACAAAAUAAAUUUGAGAUAAAAUAAUAAUAAUAAUAAGCAAUAGAAAAUGAGCACUUAGUUAUAGUAAAGGGCAAGAAACUGAAACUUUGGAAGGGUAAGGAAACAAGUACCUUGCCAUUUCCAGCAUCCACAAGCAAUCCUUCGCAAUCAUCUCCCACCACUGUAACAAGCUUUCUGUCUGGACUUAUGGAUGUGUGCUGCCGUUAAACAAAAACCAAAACACGAAAUGAAAUUGCACAUAAUCAGCAAUGCCAGCAAGACUCGGAGUAGCAAAAGAACCAAAAAUACUUCAUCAGGUCAAAGAUUGGUAAACGCCACUCUGCUAUUACCGGGUGAAGAGCCUCAAGAAUUUUACUAUCAACGCUUAAAAAAGCAGAGAACUCACAUUCACUGACCACGGGAAACGGAAGUGAUUCAAUUGCUGAAACCUUUCUACAUCGAACUCGCGCACACAACAAUCAUUAUUGGAUACCAUAAAGCGGAUAUUGCCACUGCGAUAGAUAAUUUUGAACAAGUCAGCUUUGUGAAAGAGCCCAUCUUUUUAACAGCCAGAGUGAAACUGUUUUUUACCUCAAAGCAUUGUAUAUGUCUAUAGCAUUGGUGAUAGCAUUGUCAUCAAACGUUGUCCUCGUACAGAAGCUAACACCUGGCCGAUCCAAUAGCUGCAUCAGGAAUAUAAGGUAAGUUCAAUUAAUAAAGAUGCAUAAUGAUUUUAAUUAAGCAGCAAAUUUGGAAUAAUUGUAAAAGGUGCUAUUGCUGUCAAGAAAUGUUCCAUCCAACCACAGUUUCGCAAGUAAUGAAGAAGAGUAUACUUGUUACUGUAACAAAAUCUAAGGCCCCGUUUGUUUGCAGGAUAAAAUGGGAAUAGCCCAUUUUAUCCUUGCUAAUUCACCCAAACAGUGAGAAAGUUUGUGGGUUUAAUUUAGCUGGGUCUUAACGGUUAUCCAAGGAUAACCCGUUAAGACCAAUUCCUCUUCACCCACGGAAUAGCCCACUUUCGCUAGGGUUAUCCCAAGGGCAAGGGUUGGAAAAUUAGGGGGUGACUCUUCAUCACCUCCGUUAAUGCGCGAUACCUACCUUCCUCUUUGCUCAUUACUCCUUUGCUGCUCUCCUGCCUCCUCGCGUCGGACGCCUUCUUCCUCCUCUCCACUUCUCUCGACUCAAUCUGCGGCGACCAUAAUCAAUAAGCGUUGGUAAUCCCUCUCUUAACUUGCUUUCUUCCUCUCUACUCCUCUGGCAGUCUCUCUCAACUACUGCUAUCAAUGAGGAAGAUCUCACCUGAGAUCCAUCCUCAUCCCUAACUCAUCUCUCAAACCCUCCGAUAUGAAUGGUAAUAAUGGCUACUUCCUCCUCUCAACAAACAUAUGGGCUUGUGAUGUACGAAAUCUCCUCCUUGCUUCUUGCCGACUACACUAUGUUGUCAAGUCGCCCAUUAAGUGCGACAGAUAUCCUCGCAAGUAAAAGGCAUGAAGUAGUUGUGCCCCUUUCCUCUUUAAAUCGGGUGGGACUCGAAGGUAGUGCUUCUCUUCACAACUUGCUUCAAACCCUAUCUCUGUUACUAUUUUGUUGGCUGUCAUUGUUGGACUCGAAUUGUUCACCGUUGAAAUUUUCAGCCUCUUUCUUAUCUCAUCGAGGUGAGAUUUUAUACGAUUAUCUUCUACUAUUAUCUAUUUUUGUAGAUUUGCCUUUGACAUUUUCUACUAGUUGAGGAUACUGUUUGUUGUUUUAUACAAGUAGAGCCUAGCUUUUAUAUACUCAUUACUUUACAAUUCAACCACGGAUCAAAGUAUGGUAAGAUAUUUAACAUAGCUACAAAUUGGACAAUAUGAUGAAUAGCAGACAACUCUGCUAUAUAUAUGGACGCCAAGUAUGCCGAUUUCAAAGAAGCUGGCAACAUCCAUAUUAGAACUUGUUUGGAGGGAAAGUUUUUUAAAAAAAUUAUGCAAUGAUGUAGGGAAAGGAUAAUUACAUAUCCAUGUAGGGAAAGGAAAAUUAUGCAAAAUCGUUUGAAAAUCUUGAAGCGUCAAUAUUUGAUAUAUCAAACUUUAGCCAACAAAAGUGGAUGUGGGUCAGAUUACACACAAAAUAUUCCAACUGCCGGUGACCCUAGUGAUUGGGAUGCCAUUAUAGCGGUUAUGUUUUUCAUUUUUGACCAUUUAUCUUUUUUUGUAAACCAAAAUUGUUUCUUUUUGUAGGUAAACAUUUGCAUAUCAUCUAUGUUUUUUUCAUUUAUAGGAAAUCCAGCUUACGUUAAGUGCCAAGACAAACCAUUUACGGCAUAUCAAUCUAUUGAAUUCUUGACUGGAAAAGGUACAGCAACCGGCAGGUAUGGAUUUACUUCUCGAGUGGAUGUCGAAGAUGUUCGUAGCACCUCUUCAUCUUCUCCUGCUACGCAACGACUCGACAUAGAGAACUUAGGCAAGAAUUUAGAGAAGGUUAAUGACGCAAAUUCAACUUUUCCUACUACUCCAAUUAAAGUAAGUACCCACUAUGAAGGUAGUGGCUCUGGCCACACUUCAUCAAUGAAGAGGCCUCGAGUGUCACCACCAAAUCCUACACUAACUUCAAACCGUCGCCGAAAAGAUGACGGACGAGCGCAAGCAAUUUAUGAGCUCGUUGAAUUGGGAAAAAAAACAGAAAUUGCACAAGCAAUAAUGGAACGUGAGUUACAACCCGGCCAAAAAUUCACUCCACAGGGGAGUGUAUGGAAAGGCUCACCACUGUUGCUCACUUGACUCCUAAUGGUUUACUUGCUGUGUGUGAGGCUCUAAAAGAUGAGCGCAAUAGGCCUAUUUUUAUUAAAUUAACUAGCGAUCUGUUGUGCAUGUGGAUAGAUCGUCAAAUCGCCAUGUAGCAGAUUUAUGCUGGACAAAGGCCUAUUGCACCAUGAUAUGCACCUAUUACACCCUUUUUCACAGCAGCAUCUUCAUCCUUUACUCCUAGACCAUUUUCAGCCUUUCCACCUACAACUGCGGCUUUCCCGCUUGACACGCCCACUUUCCUCCUACAGGACCUUCUGUCCCUUCUAAUUUACCAUCUUUUUUGUCGGAAAGGCCAUCUUUCCUGCCUAAUUAAGUAUGCAUGGAUAGGUGAAGAACAAUUGCCUUUUUUGUGGUUUGGCACUUCCUGGUAGUGCUCUUUAGUACUAAUUAAGUAAGCACUUAUUAUCGAUUUUCUUUGCAUGAUGGCCAGAGAUGUUGCAUGUAUUAACUCAUGUACUCUCUCUUUUACACGUACUGUAUGCUUUUAUAUUAUCUUCUAUUUUUAGUUCCAACUGUAUGUCAACUAUGAAGGACUUGUAGGGUGAUCCAUGUUUUUCAACCUGUAUAAAUGUUACUCUUCUCAACUUGCUUCUUCACAGCAUUUUAUUUGCAGGUCUCUAAUUUAGCAAUGAUGAGCACAAGAGUAGACUGGCAUGAAUGGUAUAAGUUUGCUUCUUUGAGGAUUAAUUGGUUAAAGUUCCUAUAUAUAAGCUCGCUUCUACUCUACUUGCAAUCUGCAUGUUACUAGCCCUGACAGUGAUGACAAAAUGAGUAGCAGGCUUGAAUGGUUGGGGGGCAUUAGGUAUCCUAAUGCAGCCACCUUUCAGACUUGUAGCCUUUAUAAUCUGAGCCAACACAACCAGGUUCUGCUCCAGCAUGUAAUUUGUCACUUAGUCUCUUCAAAUCUCCAGUUAUGUGGUUCAAUAAAUAUUAUUCAAGGUAAGUGCGAGUUGCAAGUUUCAUAUUACAUGAUUUCAGAAGUUUGUUUCUGGAGUUGUAGUAUACUACUUUCCAACUAAAUAAAUUGGUCCAUGGUAUACAGAAAGUUGGCUUUCUCUUCUUUAUCAGGCUUGCAGUUUUAUUUUACAGUGAGGAUUAUAGGUUAACUAAUUAUUUCAUGUCUCUUUUGUCUUGCUUUCAUAUUCGUUCAUAUCUUUUGUUUAUAUAAAUGCAAGUGAAAAUGCAUACCUGGCCAACUAAUUACUUGACAUUGAUUUGUUUACGUUAGUUAUUGCAUCUGCAAUAGUGGAACUUCGAUUGUUUGCCUUACUUCUGUUAACUGUUGGGUUGUACCAUAGUUUUGGCUUCUUAUUUCUAUAUAACCUAAAUCUUUCCAUUCAUGGCCACGUAUAAAAGGUAAUGUAGUUUUACCAAAGUGGGUGAUUAUUUGGUUCAAGUUGACUAUGUAUAAGCUUGCUUCUUCUCAACUUGUAAUACGCACCUUACUCGCUCUGGCAAUGAUGAAUAAAAGAACAAUGGACUUGAAUGGUUUGGGGUGCAAUAGGUAACCUAUUGCAGCCACCGUUCAGACUUGGGCCCUUUGUUACCUGAGCCAACAUAUGAUUGUUCUGCUUCAGUAUGUAUCAAUCUCCAACUCUCUUAGGUAUUGGGUUCAAUGGAUAUUACUCAAGGUAAGUGACAGUUACAAGUUUCCUGUAACAUGAUUUCAAAAGUUUGUUUUUGUGAAGUUGUAGUAAAAUAUUUUCGAACUUAAUCACUUGGUCCAUGAUUUACCAAAAGUGGCUUUUCUCUUCUUUAUCACGCUUGCAGUUUUAUUUUAUAUUAAUUAUUUCAUUUCCCUUGUAGCAUGCUUUGAUAUUUGUUCAGAUCUUUUGUUUACAUACGUGCUUGUGAAAGUGCAACCCUAUGCAACUAGUUACUUGAUAUUUGUUUCUUUACCUCGGUUAUUGCAACUGCUACUGUGGUAUUUCAAUUGUUUUCAUACUUUUGUUCAUUGUUGGUUCUACCAUAGUAGCCACAGUUCUGAUUCCUAUAUAGCCUGAAUCUUUUGAUUCAUGGCCAUCUAUAAAAGGUAUUAUAGCUUUAAAAAAUUGAGGAUUAAUUGGUUAAAGUUGCUAUGUAUGACUUUGCGUCUUCUCAACUUGUAAUCUGCGUGUUACUCGCUCCGGCAAUGAUGAACUAAAGAGCAGCAGUCGUGAAUGGUUGGGGGGCAGUGGGAAACCUCUUGCAGCCAUCAUUCAUACUUGUGCUCUUUAUGACCUGAGCCAACACAUGUUUGAGCUGCUUCCAAGGUGAAUGAUACUCGAGAUGAGGAUAGCUACAGGUUGCAUAUUUUAUGCUAAGCAGUUAACUUCAUUUUGCUACCAACUUCAUUUAAUGCUUUGCAAGCUACUUCAUUUUGCUAGCAACUUGUAGCUUUCUCAAACGGGCAAUGAUGAGCAAGCAAACAGAUGCGUGAAUGGUAGGGGGCAAUACAUGCUGUAUUGCAGCCACCAUGCACGUGUGACUUCAAUUCGUCCUGAGCCAACACAUGUUAAUAACUGUACAGUUUACUUAUAAUUGUACCUCCAAGUAAGCUUGAGCUCACUUUUCGACCUGUGUCUAUGUUAUAAUUCUUGCCAUAUUUGAAGUUCUUAAGCUCAAGUUAUUGAGUAUCUAUAUCUUACAUCAGAGUGUUGUGCUUCAUCUUUUCGGCGAUGAUGAUAUGUAGGGCUCUAGGCAUGCAUAGUAGGGAGGCGUGGAUAAAGACCACUGCAACCACCUUGCAUACUCUUCUGCCUUACUAUCUGAGCCAAUAGAUAUCAAUCUUUAGCUAUUAUUGGGUUAUAAAAGUUUCAUUUGAUCCAAAUGCAGUUAUGGCUGAAGCAAUCAAUCGGCGAGUUUUUUCUUCAACACUUGUUGCCGAUCUCAUGACAUUCUUAGACGAGGAAGAAGACUAUUGGGAAUAAGUGCAUGCCUUACUUAUUGAAGAGGGGGACUUUCCAUUCCACAACACAAUUUAUAGACGGCCUUGUCGAACUCAGCCAUUCACUGGUUAUGAGCUAAUUCAUGACAUAUUGAGUGGACAUCCUGAUAGAGGUUAUCAACAUUUCAGGAUGACCACUACUAUGUUUACAAGACUUCGAGAUGAACUAGUUGGAAGGGGUUUUAUACAAAACACUAGGCAUUUAACUGCUGACGAGCAGCUUGGUAUAUUUCUAUUUGGUACAGGUCAUGCCGUGGCUAAUAGAAUUUUAGCUGAAACUUUUCAACAUUCAGGAGAAACGAUUAGUAGGCAUUUUAAUAAUGUACUGCGCGGCGUGGUUGAACAUAGACAUAACUACAUCCAACUCCCACUAUCAAAUACGGGAGUACACCCUAGAAUAAAAGAUAAUUCAAUAUUUCAUCCAUUCAAGGUGAGUACAUUAGUAUUUGUUAAAACUUUGUGGAAACAAAAUUUGUAAUCUUCGAAGUUAUGAGAUAUUUGAUGCUUACUUUGUUAUUUGACUUUUGAAUUCAGAAUGCAAUUGGUGCAGUAGAUGGGACAUCCAUAUCGGUGGUUGCACAGAAGACUAAGCAGCCAAGAUAUCAGCGUCAACAAGGAUUUACUUCUCAGAACAUGAUGGCCGCAUGUUCGUUUGACCACCAGUUUCUAUUUGUGUGCACCGGGUGGAAGGGUUCUGCAACUGAUAUGAGAGUACUGCGAUGGUGUUGCGAGAGUGGCGGUUUCACAGUACCGGAAGGUAACUUAUCAUUUGCAAGUUUAUGUGUGAUAUAGCUUUCAUUGUUCUAAUUUUCAUAAAGCUUUAUAUUGUGUAGGAAAAUAUUAUCUCGUCGAUUCAGGAUAUGCAAAUACUUAUCGCUUCCUCGCACCCUAUCGAGGGGAACGAUAUCACUUGAGCCAAUUUGAUGUAAACGCACAGACGCGAAGACAUCAAGGACCUCGAGAUUUAUAUAAUCAUCGUCAUGCUCAAUUGCGAAACAUAGUUGAGAGCAAGGUUUUAAGUGCCCAUCGGCACGCACCGUAUCCACCGUACCGUACCGUGCCAACAAGAUACCGGCACGAUACAGACCCCGUGCCGAUGGCACAGCUCAAAACCCUUUAUUCUUUAAAUUAGUAAGUAAUUUCCUCAAUAAAGUUCAAAAGAUGUGAUAAAAAGACAACAAAUAGUUAGAAUAUUUUGUUGCUAAAGAAAAUAAAUAUUUUAUGCUAUUAUGUGUCGGCACACAAGAUUUUUUUGACCGGCACUCAUCGGCACGGCUCGGCACGCACCGUACCGUACCGUGCCGGCAAGUUUCCGACACAACCCCGUGCCACGGCACUUAAAUUCUUGGUUGAGAGAGCCUUUGGAAUCCUGAAGAGGCGGUGCAAGGCGCUCCGACAAGCAACACCCUUUCCCUACAAGGCGCAAUGUCGCAUUGCCCUCGCAUGUUGCGUCAUACACAAUUUCAUCAAGAGGCAACAAGGGACCGAUAGGUACUUCAACAUGCAAAUGGACCCAUUGCCGACGGACGACCAACUUGAUGAAUCAUCACCUCCUACCCAGACGAGUCUCGGAGAGGAGACGCUCUUCGCACCAUGAUAACAGAUCAACUUUGGAACAAUAUAUAGGAGGAAAUAUUGAAAAUGAUGUAAAUUCGUUUUUUAGUUCAUGCUUUGCAUAUGCUGUAUCAACUUAUGUCUCGUGUCUUCAUCUUGAAUUUAUUUCGUGCUAUUUUCCAAAAUGUUGUAAUUGGAUGUUAUCUUAUGUUCGCAAUGAUUACUUUUAGUCCAAAAUUGCUCUGAUUUAGUUUAAUAUAGAAACUUUGUUUUAGUCAAUUGUUGUGUUUGAUAGUUGCAAUUGUUAAAUAAAAUUUCUUCUCUUCAUUAGUUUUUGCAAACUGAUUGUAUUAAAAGAUUUUAAAUGAGUAUUCUACUUUUUUAUAUUGUUGAAUAACAUCUAUACCUAUACAUUAAUCCCCAAAAGAACAUGCCACGUGGCUGUGUUUCCUUUAUUUUUAGGCUUCACAUUGCGAAACCAACCUUUCGCCUUCCCUCCACCCAUAACGGUUCACCCACCUUAACCCAACCCUUCGCCUUCCCUCCACCCAUAACAUCUAAUUACUGGUCCACCCACCUUAACCCAACCCUACGCCUUCUCUCCGCACAUAACGUCUAAUUAAUGGUCCAUUCAUCUUAACCCUAAUCUAAACAAUAGAUAGUAGAAACCCACGAAAAGCCCCCUUCUCUCCCUUCUCUAUUUUCUCUUCCUCCUCCAUGAGCUUCGAGGCCAAAAUCGAGCACGUUCUGUGGACGAAAUAUGAGUUUGCAUACUGCAUUGCCGAGCUUGGCGCUGCUAUCUUCAUCAAAUCGAGGUUUCCUCCAAAUUUUAGGAGUUAUUUUAAAAGAUUUAUAUAUUCUUUAUAUUGUAGCGUUGAAAUUUCUUAGGUAGCUUUAUUCAGUUUUUUCAAGUUCUUUUUAUUUGCGUGGUAUUCGAACUGAUGUGUUUGUUGUGUUGAAGGUUUAUUACUUCUUCUUUUUCUAUCAUUUGUUCUUUAUAUUUUUUUCUUGAAAUAAAAUUCUGUAUUAUAUUUGCUGUAUUAGGUUGUGUUAGGUUAUAUAUCUUUUUUUAAAUAUUUAUUAUAUAACUUUUCAUAUGCUUAUUUUUUUCUACUUUCAUGACUCUUUUUAUUAACUAAUAUAAAAAUGUUUACAAAAUUAGAUUGAUAUAUGAUUUAAAAAGGUCUUCAUUUUCUUGAAGGGAUGAGUAUCAUAGCUUAUAUAAAAAAUGAAGGGAUAAAUAUAUAACUUAUACAAAAAAGUUUAACCUUUUGAUUGUUUUGAUUUGAUUUAUAAAAUAUUAAUUUUUAUUGAAUUUUUUAUCUAAAUCUCUCCCAAAUAGUAUGUCGUUUUUCCACUAUGAGCAUUUUGUUACUAAUCGGCUUCAGCAAAUUAAUAUACUUUUGCAAGAAGCCAAUAUGUUUGGACUAUUUUGAUUUUGAAAAUAAUAGCAAAUUUUUGAUAUAUUAGUUAGAUAUUAAAUUUAUUUUAGUAGUAUGUACCCGCCGCAAAGCGCGGGUUACUACACUAGUAAUUACAAAGUUUCUUCUACACUGUUACAACUUUGCUACAAUUAAAAAGCUGAAUUGAUUUGCCAUAAUUCUUAAUUUCAUUAUCUACUGUUCAGAUAUUGUAACAACCAGAAUUUAAAAUAUAAACAAAUAAAAUUAACAUAACAUUAAAACCAAUUAAAUAAAAUAAUUUAUCAAAUGUUCUAUUAUUGAGUACCCACAUGUAGUUGAUUGUGUUUUAUUAACCAUAUAUAUGAAAGAGUAACAAGGGCAAAUCAGGUAUUUCAAAAAUUUAACCUUCAACUUUUCACUAUUCUCAACUAUUCCAAAAAAUUAACCAAACACAAUUUCAGCUAUUCCUAAGAAUACCAGCUUUACCAACCAAAUGGAAUUUACAUUUUAUUCCUGACUAUCCCGGAAUAACAAGCUAUCCUAGGGUUAAAAAAAUUUAUCCCAACGUUCUUAUCCGCGAACCAAACAGAGCCUAAAAGAAAAAGACAAUAGCAUGACAAAUGAUAGACAUCAACCAAGAAAUUCUCCAAUAGCUAUUGUUAUUAUGUGGAGUUACUUGCAACAGCAACUUAUUUGAGUAAUACUAGAGCACCAAUGAAACAAUCUCCUCGACUUCUUCUACCAUCGUUAGCGCUAAUUAGUCAGUUUACGACGAACUGCCUAUUACAGUACUGAGCUAACCAUCAUAAAAGCUACAGAGCAUAUUCAAUCACUUGCAAAAGCAUAAAAGUCGAUACUUGAUGGGUGUAAUUAAAGGUUAGACAGAAAUAUUUAGAAAUCUUCCAGUGAUUGUUGUCGUCAAGAAUGGGUAUAUCUGGCACACUGAUGAUUAUAAUAAUGCACACUAUUUAUCAGUAGAAUGCUUGUAUAUUACUAUAUAAAGAAGCGAAGAGAUGCUUAGGAUAGAUUGAAUAGCUCUAGAAACGAAUGGAUAAGAUCAAACUGAAAACAGAUAGAUUGUUCAAGUUAUACAGUUAGUUAUGGACCAAAAUUGCUGAAAGAAAGUUAUACAGUGAUUAAGAAAGAAAAUUUGAUCAUUUGAAGUUUGAACUAUCUAGGAUUGACUCAACUUCCAGGCACAAAAAGAUAAAUUAAAAUCAAAUCUUUGAUGUGAAGUAACGCUGCAUCUAUGCACCCUGAAUGAUACAUUCAAUAUACAAAAAAUAGCAUCAAAAUUCAGAGAAAACAUUACAUAAAUUUGCUAACAUCAUGUAAUAAAACAUUUUUGGCACUUUCAAUCUUGAUAUGCUUAGAUUUUAACAAACAAGUGUCAUAAAUGCAAUUCAACAUAGCAUCAAUAGUUCAAUAAUCUUACCUUACAAAUUAGUUCCCCUUGGAAACCACCAGCUACCAACAAACCAUCCUUGACGGCAAGGGUACUUAAUUGGGUUCCUGUAAAUCCUUCUGCCAAACUCCCAGGAUGUUUCUGCAAACCCAACAAAGCUGUAAGUAAUACUAUCACAAAGUAAACAGAAAAAAGAAAUGUCUAGAGGUUGGAAAAAAAAAAAAACAAAACAAAAGGGAAAGAAAAGGAAAUUAAAUGAAUAAUCAAACAAGAAAUGAUUGCCUAGAGAAAAGAAAUAGAAGGAAACCUCCGUAGGAGCCACAUGUCCCGAAAAAUCAAGAAUUUCUGACAUAUUGCGAGAUAGUGAUGACCAAUGAACAACUGAGGAAUUCGACAUAAAAUAUACAUCAUGCUUUGAGGUUGCCCAUACCAAGUUCCUUAGCUACAGAAGAAAUAAAUAAUCAGUUUCUGGCAAAGUAAUAGACUUCACAUGAGAAACAAAGCAAAAUCAUUACAAUUAGUAAGGACAACAAGCAUACCUUCCAUAUUCAUUACCAAACCAUAUAGAAACUAAAGCUGAAAGCAAAGAUUUCUAAAUCACCAGAACUAGCAGUAUUCCACACAAAACUCAUCAGUCUUCAAUUCCUAUUUCAAGCUAGCUAAUAGGAGCAAGUAAAUUUUCUGAAAUUCAGGUUUUCCCCCUAAAUAGACAUGAAAAUUAAUAUAGGAAAAGGUUAAGCAGCUACAACAGGCAAUAGUUCGACCGGUUGGGCAAUUUAACAGUUUAAACUAAUAUGCUAUGCAUACAAUUUGAAUCCAAUAAAAUACGAGUACCAUCCUAUAGAUCAAGUUAUAAGAGGAUGUUCGAAGCAUUAAAGGUAACUCAUCCUAUGUAAUCAUCUUAUAAUAACUUGAGAAUCUUUCUCCAAGUCAUUUGACCAAUCCCCAUAGUUGUAGUUUUUCAUAGCAAGAAUAGCCUGUUGCAGGUUCGAAGCUCUUUUUAACAAUUUCUUGUAAGAUCUUUGUUCAGGAUUGGCUUGCUUUGCUCUCAACGAAGUUCGAAGUGCAUAGAUCUUCUUAGGUGAGAAAAUGACAAGCAUUAGUAGAUGACUUACAUAUUCUCGGUACAUCUACGUCCAUGUUGGACAGCACAUAAGCUAUCCGCCUGCAUUGUUCAAUAUGAAUCCUAUUUGAUGUUUAGUUUGAACUUAAAAAGAAUUGAGAUCUAAGGGUAACUUUUCACCUUAUUAGGCUCCAUGGGAAAACCAGAAACCCAUCAUAAGGUCUUCAUAUGGAAAAAAAAAAAAAAAGAAGGAAGUUUUCUUUAAUGGCUUGUUUUGUAGUAAAAAUUAUUACCAUUUCAAAAAAUAUAGUAAGCUUCUUUAAUGGCUAGUUUCAUAGUACGAAUUAUUUACCGUAACCAAUUAAAUUAAUCCAAUGGCCUUAUAAGGAGAUCGAUUUGUCUACUAAUGAAGCUUCUCCAUAUACUGUAGAAAUCGAAGAGGAAAAACAAACUAAGGCAACAUCCAUAAAACUCUCAACAAUUUUAGAGCAAUAAGAAAUCAGGGCAACAAGCACGGUAAAUCUCCAAAAGUGGCUAAUGUAUAAUGAAAUUUUGCGCCCAACGAGAAAAGAGUUAACAACUUGAUCAUGCAGUACAUGCAUGCAGAUCACAAACAAGCAAACAAAAAAGCCUCGCAGACCUGAAAGUGAAGAAUAAUGGGUUUCACCAUCCUUGAAUUGUAUAGGAACUCAUAAUAAUUGCCGCCUUUCUCCACUUGCUUGCAUUUCUACAUAGAACGAAAGAGCGCUCAAUUAACCAACAAUCAACCGAACGAUCAUUACAAAAUUACGUUUACUGAAUAAAAACCUUCUCCAUAAGCUCGCCGGAAGACAGAACGUUCUCGUAGUUCUUGUACAGCUCUAUACGCGUCUGUCUGUAGCUCUGCCUCGAUAUCUGUAACGUCUCCCAAGGGAUGCCUUGGAUAUCCUUCCCCUUCCGAGCUUCUGCCGCCGAUGUAUCCGUCCUCCUAGUGAGCUGCAAGCAGAGUUUACAGCAAUUCGUCACCCCCAUUACCUACUUCCGGAAACAGCUAGCAGCAGCAGGUAAACUAAUGCCAUGCCGCACGCACAACAUCAUCGUUAGAUCGACCGACGACGAAGAAGAAGAAGAAGAGCGCUAUUCGACUGCCGUAAUACGUUUCUUUAAGCUCAAAUUCUACGCAAUUCAACAGGCCGGCAAAUGGCGUCGCGGGCUAACGUUUUAAGUAGCAAGAACAUGGAAGUCCAUCUCGCACAGAAUUCGAAUUUAAACACGGCAUAAUGGAAUGUUAAGAAAAGGGGAAAUGGAAACCAACCAGAGCGUACUCAUCAUCUGCGUCAUCACCCCCGCCUCCGCCCCCAUCAAAGAACUCUCCGCCCAUCUCAUCCUCCACCGCAAAUCCGGCGUCGUCCGAGUAGUCGACGGCAUCGUCCUCAUCAUCGUCAAAAUAAUAAUCUCCAUUAAUCGACAUCCUCCUCCUCCUCCUCCUCCUCCUCCUGCUCAGCAAGUGACUAUCCUUCAGCAAAUCUGAAAGCGUACUAAUUUUCGGAUUCAAAAUUAUUAUUUAAAAAAAAAAGAGAAAUUUGUGAAAAAUCCUAAACGUACGCAACAAUUAAGAGGAGGAGGAAAAAAAAGAGGAAAAAAAAAAAAAACCGGUUUAUCCUAGAGUGAGCACCGCCGCCGCCGCGUCAAGCAGAAACUUCUAGUUGAGGUAGAUGAGUAGAAUUUUAAAAGGAAAAAAAAAAAAAAAAAGUGAAGAAGAAGAAGAAGAAGAAGGAGAAGGCGGUUUCGUAGGCGGUCUUCUUCUUUGGGAAGGCUGUUAUGAGGAUUUGGUGGGCUGUCUGCCUUCUCGCGCACGGAGGAUACGAGCAGAAAGCCGACUACUCGUUUUUGGUGUGAGGGGGGGGGGUCGGCGGAGAGGGUCUUUGAUUUUAUUUUAUUUUAUUUUGUUUUGUUUUAUUAUAUUUUGAGUUUAUCUCUCGCCCCUUCUGCAACCGCCUUUGCGUCCGAGCGCAUGGUGGGAGGCGAGCACAGCGCCACUCUCUUGUCGUCCCCUGGCCCUGAGAUAAACUCUUCGCCAGCACAUGGCCCACCCCUCUUUCUUUUUCUUGAAUUAAUUUAAUGCACUAAGAGACCCGCGCGAUGCAGCGGGUAGAUAAUAAAAAUAAAAUUUAAAAAUUUUAAUAAAUUUUAUAUUUACGAUUUAUUGAUAUAUAGAAAGCUAUAACAUAUUAAGUACAGUUAAUUUGUAUGACUAAAUUUACAUAGUAAGCAGAGGCCCCCGUGCGGACCGACUCAGCGAGCACUUAUAUAGGUCGCGGCUCGGCUUCGCAGGACGAUGCUUCUUGAAGGAGACAAUAUUCUUCAAAGGCUCUUCUUCUUCUUCUUCUUCUUCUUCUUCUUUGUUAACACAAUGAGAGAAAGAGGGAGAUGAGUGUGGAGUAGGAGAUUAGACGAUGAUAUUUUUUUAUGGUGCAUGUAAAAGAGUUACAAAAAAGAGGGGGUAGGAGAUUAAUUAAUGGAGGAGGGGAGUGGUGCAUGUAAAAUAAUUAUAAAAGAGAGGGAGUGGAAGAUUAAUGGAGGAGGAAAGUGGUUAAAGUUAUAAAAUAGAAUCUUAAUAUGGUGCAUGUAAUUAAAUAUUGCAUGUAAUUAGAGUAAUGAUGAGGUGAGUUAGGCGUUAAGAAAAGAAGAAGGUGGUUUGAUUUAAAGUUGGAUUUAAAGUUACAUAUAAUUAAAUGUUGUAACUUACAUAUAAUUAGAGUGGGGAGGUGAAGAAUUGAGAGUUGAAAAGAGGAGAAGGUGGUUUGAUUUAAAGUUGGCUAUGAGAAGUAAGAAUAACAUGCCACGUGGCAAAAAGUAUUGUGGCUUCAUAUAGGUUUAUAGAUAAUAUAAUAAAUUAUAAAUAUAUUUUUAUAAAAUUUAACUUUUAUAUAUUGUUUAUAUAAAAAUUCUAAUAUUUUUAAAUAUGUCAUUCUGGCUUAUUAUUAUUAAAGCACUGUUUAGUUUAGCCAUCACAAAUAUAUCCCUUUUUAAUUGAAGAGGAAUAAAAAUGUUAAUUCACCGUAUUAAUGAACUAGGGUUAAUUAAUUUUUUCUAACGAAUUUUAAUAAUACGGACAUAUUUGAAAAUAUCAGGACUUUUGCAAAGACAGCAUAUGAAAGAUAAACUUUAUAGGGAUACAUUUGUAAUUCACUAUAUUUGUAGGGACAUGUACGAUUUUAACCUUUUUUUUUAAUAUAAAAUUUCUAUAUGACUAAAUUACAAAAAAAAAAAAGAAACUUCUGUAUAAAUAUUUUUAUUUGCACUUUUUUUCUAACUUUUAAAAAUCUAUAUUUUACCUCAUUAAUAUUUCAAGUUGUUGCAUUUAGCCUCCCUCCGUCAGGGUUCCAUCACUAUUUCUGUCAUUUCUUAUAAUUUAUGGUUAAUUUCAUACAGGUCCUUGCAAAUAUAGUGUAUAACAUGUAUAUUCCUAUAAAGUUCAACUUUCAUAAGUUACUCCCGCAAAAAUCCUAAUGUAUUCAGAUAUAUCCCUACCGUUAAUAGCCGUUAGAAAAAUCUAUUUAACCACAGUUAUAAUACUUAACCAUAAUUAAUUAAUAAUGUGAAUUGAUAUUUUUGCCCUUGUUCUUCUUCCUCUUCCUCUUCCUCUUCUUCUUCUUCUCCUGCUUCUUCUUCUUACUCUUCUUCUCUAUAUCCUCCUUUCCUCCUUUUCUCUUCAUUCUUCUUCUUCUUCUUCUUCUUCUUCUUCUUCAUCGUCGUUAUCGAUGAUCCGAUCGUCGUCGUCGUCGUGGUGCCCGCAUGGGCCAUCGUCACGGGCGCCUCCGACGGCAUCGGCCACACCUUCACCUUCGCCUUCCGCAUCUUCCUCGUCCUCAUUGGCUGCAACCCCGACAAGCUCCGCAAGGUCGCCACCGCCGCCACCUCCGUCGUCCGCUCCCGCAGCCUGAAGAGGAAGAGGAAGAGGACGAUGGCAAGGGCAAAAGUGUCAUUUCACAACUCUACUGUUAAAAAAUUAAUUGUUCUUUAACAGAUACUUACCGAAGGGACAUAUCUGAAUACAUUAGGACUUUUGCAGGAUAACUUAUGAAAGUUGAACUUUGUAGGGAUAUAUCUACUAUCCACCAUGUUUGGGGGGACCUGUAUGAAAUUAACCUUAUAAUUUAUACCAAAAAUAUUCUUUAACGUGACAUAUAUACAUUAAAAAAUUAUUUUUUUCUUAUAAAAAAAUAAAGAUAAUUUGGUUAUAUUGCACUCUCUAUUAACGUCGUAGCUCUCUGAAAAUAUUUUUAAAAAUUUAAUAGGUAAAAUAUUGAUUUUUUAAAAGUCAAAAAAAAAAGAUAUUUAUAGGGAGGUUUUUGAAAUUUAACUUUUCUGCAUGAUAUGAUAUUAUGCUGCAG